UCCCUAGUGGCGCAAUCGGUUAGCGCACGGUACUUAUAGACAGUACAUAAGCUAUGCCGGGGUUGUGAGUUCGAGCCUCACCUAGGGAA
rnacentral:tRNA from 1 species